UUUUUUUUUUUUUAUUUUGUCUUUCGCCUUUUCUAGGGCCACUCCCGCAGCAUAUGGAGGUUCCCAGGCUAGGGGUCUAAUUGGAGCUGUAGCCGCUGGCCUAUGCCAGAGCCACAGCAAUGCGGGAUCCGAGCCGCGCCUGCGACCUACACCACAGCUCAAGGCAACGCCAGAUCCUUAACCCACUGAGAGAGGCCAGGGAUCGAACUCGCAACCUCAUGGUUCCUAGUGGGAUUCAUUAACCACUGAGCCACGACGGGAACUCCGAUAAACACUUUUUAAAAUUUUUCUUACAUAAAAUUUUUAGGAGGGGAGUGUAAGGCAAAAAAUAAAACAUCCUUUACAUUAAACUGCAGGUGAAACAUAAUAUUUGUGUCUUACAUCAACUGUAUAAUAAAAUGUUUCUUCUCAUGUAUAAUGAAUGAUGCAAUGUUCCAUACAUAAGAAAGAUGCAUACAGCUGUAUACAGGUGCAGUAUUUUAUGUGAAAGAGCAUUCUAGUUCAAUACCAUGUUUGAUUUGAUGCCAUCCUACAGAUCACACCAGAUCUUACCCUCCUGCCACUUUCAAAGGCAGGGUGUCUGGGGGCUCGCCUGGGACCCAGGACCAGGCAAUGCAGGGUGAGGAGAGAAGGGCAUAUGUCAGCUCAGGAGAAAAGAGACGCUUCUUCAGGGUGCUGCUCUUGGGUCCCCUCCCACCACCUAGGGACCUGGAGAGCGUCCAGGAAGCAGGCGACUCGGCCCAUCCGGGCACAGGGAGGGGCGCAGAGCCAGGCCCCGAGCAGGGGGGCCGGGCGUGGGGGAGGGGAAGUCGGGGAGGGGUAUUAUCCUGAAGCUGAGGGCAGCAAUUACAUAACAAACAAACCCGGGGCUCAAGCUGUGAAUUAAUCAAACCGCUGAAAAUAAAACCUUCCUCUCAGGAACUUCAGACAAAAGAAAUGAAAACAACCAGGCUGGCUGGAAAAUAAAAGACAGCAGCACUGAAAGGGGGACAAAAGGAAAUCAGACAAUAGGGUGUUGGACAAAGGCAAUAAAGCCAAAGGAAGUGUGACAGGCGAACAAUGCGGGCCUGUGGGCUUCUGAUCCCCGGCCGGCUCCGCGCCGCGGGCCCACACCCACUGCGCGCCACCGCGCCAGGCAGGCCGCCGGGUUGCCUCCUCGAUCGGACCUGGGGUCCUGUGGGCGUUUUCCUCCCUGCGGUCCCAGCUUGUCCCAGCUUCGUGGCCUUCGGCUUCUAGCUCAAAGCCUUUCUCCCCACUGCAGCCCAGACACCCGGCGGCAGCCACGGGGUGCGCGAUUCUGGGCAGGAGCCAGGGUGGGGCGCAGGGCUGGGCUCGCCCCGGCACCAGACUCUGACCCAGAGCCGUGGACUGGCUGUGCAUCCCCCACCCCCACUCCCGACUGAAGGCGGAAGCCGAGGAGGUGAUGAUCUGUCCUAACGAACCCCAGGGCCGCACUGCCCGGUGCCCAGGCCACCUGCCACACCGCUACUGAGCACCUGUACCAGGGCCAGUCCCAAAGGCAACGUGCUGCGUACAGAGUACCCCCCCACACACACCCCCCCGCGCUUUGGAAGGCUUUGUAUAAAAAGCAAUGUAAACCAGCUCUUAAUAAUUGGUUAUUGAUUACACGUUGAAAUUUUGAGUCUGGAUGCUGUUGGGUUAAAUAAAAUAUAUUGUUAAAAUUCAUUUCACCUGUUCCCUUUUGCACUUCCCGUUUUAGCUACCAGAAGACAUUAAAAGCAUAUAGGUGACUCCCAUUAUAUUUCUGUUGGGGGGGGGCGUACUACACUAGAACAUCCCCUCCCUUUGACCUUGAUGGCCUUUUCUACCCACACUUAACCCCAAGAGUACCUCCCACUGGGCGUCAAGACUAUCUAUAUUGGCGCCCCUGCCUCCUGGGGCUCCCAAUGGCUUAUCCUGGCCUCUGGCACAGCGCCUGGUGAAAAAGAAAAUGGCUCCUGGUGACCAGCCAAGCUAGCUUGGAGGUGUCAGUCUGUUCACUGGGGCGUGGUACCCAUUAGAUAAGCCCGCCAGACCCUGCUAGCAGCCCAGACAAGGGCUCUUCAUUCCCACAGGCGUCUGGCUGUACUUCAGGCACCGGGCCUUGGCUCUCCAUUGGUCCCCUCUCUGGAUCCAUUUGUAGAUGAUGCAGAGUACAGGCUUUUGGGUUCAACAGCCUGGAUUUAAAUUCCUUCAAAUGCCUGCCCUGCCGCCGUCUGACACCAGCUGACUUGUGCAACCCUAGGCAAGUUAAUUAACUCUUUCUCCUAAUCCAUAUAAUGGGUAUAAUAACCCAUCUCUCACUGUCCACGAAAAUUCAAUAACAGGGUGAGCAUCCAUUAAGUUAUCACAUGGCCCAGGAUACUCCUGGUGCCAAGUAGUUGAGAGAAAACUCCUCUGGGGUCAGAAAGACCUGAGUCCAUUUCAUUUCCAACUCUGCUUAUUUAAUUGCCGACUCUGUGCAGCCUUGGCCAAUGAUGUAACCUCUCUAAACCUCAGUUUCCUCUUCAGUGAAAGGGGAAUAAAAAAACCCAGUAUGAAGGGAUGAGCCAUCCAUUAACACUUCAGACUUUAAGAUAUGCCUUUUUUCACAUUUCUUGGCAUCCUGAACUGGGCCUUCAAAGCACUUAUCAUAGUUGAUAAUGAUAACCUUUACAAGUUUCCCUUAUUUCUGACUGGCCUAACAGCCUGAGAACCCAUCCAACCCGACCCACAGCAGUGUGAAAAUAUGCUUGUUUUUGCUCAUCACUGUCACCCCAAAGUCUAGCACAGGGCCUGGAACACAGUAGGUGCACAAUAAAUGUACAACCCUCAGUAUAAUACAGUUCAGCAGCAUAGCACAAGGCAGACCUGAAUUAUAAUAAGUGACUGCUACUAUUAUCCUUAUUAGAUAGAUGUUGCUCUCUCUGUGGUUUAUCUCCCACGCCCCCACUGCCCACACCCAAUUAUCCUCAGCUGUCUCUUCCUUGACUCUAAACUCUCUGUAGGAGUGACCCAAAUGCCCCAGUAACAAAGCAAGUACUUAUCUUUUUGUUUUUACCUUGGGACAGGUAAGAAACAUUGUCCAUACCUUUUGAAUCGAAAGACCCUGUUGGAGUCUUCCCUUAAGUCUCUUCUUUUCCAGAAACUAAAACAAACAAACAAACAAACAUCCCUCAAAUUCCCUUAUUACCCCUUCCCUACAAAGCACGCUUCAUGCUUCAAUAAUCCACAUGGUUUUUCAAGAGAUUUUAAGGUCAGCAGCCACACCCUCCCCUCUCCCCAGAUGCCCAGAAGCCAAAGGCUCAGUACACAGGAGAAUUACGGGGUGCCCCCGAGUCCACGCAGGUCAUGGUCAGAGGCCACAAGCCCACAGGACACUCCAGUGGAUGUGCUCCCAUGUAGCCAAUCUCUCCAUCUCACCCAGCCUUACUCACAUUUUUCACAUGGAGAAACUGAGACCCACAGAGGUCAAGUUCAUGUGGCUUGUUUGGGCAGUACUGCUUCAGGAACAGAAUCAGAGGUCCUUCAACUGGUUGGGAGGCAGAACAGCAUCCCUGCUCUGAACCUUCCUUCCCUUCUGGGAACCUACUCCACAUGCUAUCUGCUGCCUCUUCUCCUUGGCCUUAUCUCACCUGAGCAUCACCAGAGAGAGGUGAAGGUCCCUCGGGGUAGAAGGCUCCGGCUAUACUCACCCUGGAUGCCACAGAGUCUUGAGUCUCUGAGCUGAUGACUGUGAUGCCCAGGGGCCCCCAAGUCCAGUGCUGAGGACAAGGCAUAGAGAUGCCUGGUCUCCAUGGAAGGCCAGUGGCUCAGAGCAUGGCUCUUGGGUGACAAGGCAGACUACAGGUGCACACACACGGAGCCCCUUUCUGCCCAAAACAAAUCACCAGCCACUUCCUCUCCCAAUCAGCUAUGGACCAGCCCAGCUGGAUGGGAAUCAAAGACGUUUUUACCCUCAGAUCUUCCUCCCUCCACAACGACAGCCCCCACCCCUCCAAUAUCUAGAUAGAGAUAGAGAUAGUGAUAAAUUCCAGUCAUCGAAGCAUGACGGGUGACUCAGACCCAGGGGUACAGGAAGACAGCCUGAACAGACAAGCAGACCCUCCAAGGAGGGCCAGUGACUACAUUUCCCCACUGGGCACAUACCGAACCCCUCCACUGAGACUCACUCCCAAGCUAGCCCUGAGCAGGUGGUGCGAAGGGACACUGCCAGGGAGAGAACCACGUGGCAGGGGAGGGGCAGAGCCCGAGUCCCAAGGGAAUGUCACUUCCUUUCAAAGCCCCAGAGAGUUGAGAGCCUCAGGCAGCCCUAAACAAUAGCCCGAGGCGUGGGUGCCCAGAACGGUGCCCCGGUGCCACAUCCUGCCAUUCUUCUCCCAGGCCGCACCCUGCCACCCUUCCUGGCUACGCCCGAUCCUAUCUCUGCUGUUUACUCAGAGCUGGGAGCUGGGCUGGCUGCAGACUCGGAACAAAGCUUUCCUGAGAGGCCCCCUCACCCUCUCCAGCCUCUGCGGGCCCUUGGGGGUAUCAGAUCCAUGGCGCUGCCCAAUCUGGUCUAGCCCAGCUCAAGGGGGAGGCCACAGCCAACACCCCUGGUCCCUGGGCUGUUUCUGGGCUGGCCAAGGCAGUAGUCACCUCGCAGAGCAGGAGACAGAGGCUCGCUGAACCUCGGGAUUCCAGACCUCCAGCCUGCAAGAGGAGGCAGCCUCCCCCGCACCUCUGGCCCAGCAGCCCAGCUCCAGACAGGGCUUUGGCAGGUGCCAAGAUUCAGCUGAUGCCUAGCCCAAGGGCACGAAGGAGCUGGGGAGAAAUUGGAGCUGUGAUGCUCCCAGCCACAGCCCCAUGUGAGUCUUCUCCCAGCCCAGGAGAUACCAAGAAGAGACAGAGGGAAAUGGCGCAGAAGUGAUGUUGAGGUUCCCAGUGGGAUGACUGCUUGCCUAGGAGGCCUGGGUGAAAUUGAGAAGAGGUAUGCGAUGUCUCCAGGAGCCCCUUCUCUGGGGGCUCUCCUCCCUGAGGAUCCAAUGCUGUCUCCAGCCCCUCCCAAGCCCCAUCAGCAGCACCCCCCACAGUGCUAGGAGGCAGCCACAGUCCUGUCCUUACCUCCCAGUGGCCAGGUCCAAACUUAUGCCCUAGACAAGGGAGUGUCUGGUCUUCUGCACCAGAAGUACCCAGCCCAGAGCUGGCACUCAGCAGAAAUGGUAAAGCUGGGGCCAACUGGCUUUAGGGUUAACCUUAACCGUAACCCUACCCCCCUCCUUUGGGGAUAGCCCUGAACGUCAAACCAAAGGGAGAGGAGGCAAAAAAGAGCAGCAAUGACAGCGCGCCCACUUGGCUGCGAGCAGUGGGCGAGGGGCUUGCCGCUUAUUUCUCCUUCCCACCCAAGGCCCAGUGGAGGCAUCUGAACUCAGGCCUCAAUGAUGCUCAAACCCACAUCUUUCUGUCUGUUGGCAGAUGCCCUGGCCACUCUCCCUCUCCCCCAGAUGACAGGAUCCGGUCCAACAAAGAUAGAUCUGCCACUGUCUUCACUGCUUACAGGAUUCCAGCUGUUUUCGACUUGAGUUGUAGCCAAGAAAGGAUCAGUCGAAAGAAACCAAGGGAGUUCCCGUCGUGGCACAGCAGAAACAAAUCCAACUAGGGACCAUGGGGUUGCGGGUUCGAUCCCUGGCCUCACUCAGUGGGUUAAGGAUCUGGUGUUGCCGUGAGCUGUGAUGUAGG
ensembl:lncRNA